rnacentral:rRNA from 1 species
CCUGGCUCAGAUUGAACGCUGGCGGCAUGCCUUACACAUGCAAGUCGAACGGCAGCGGACCUUCGGGUGCCGGCGAGUGGCGAACGGUGAGUAAUAUAUCGGAACGUACCUUUCAGUGGGGGUAACGUAGCGAAAGUUACGCUAAUACCGCAUAUUCUGUGAGCAGGAAAGCAGGGGAUCGCAAGACCUUGCGCUGAUUGAGCGGCCGAUAUCAGAUUAGCUAGUUGGUGAGGUAAAGGCUCACCAAGGCGACGAUCUGUAGCGGGUCUGAGAGGAUGAUCCGCCACACUGGAACUGAGACACGGUCCAGACUCCUACGGGAGGCAGCAGUGGGGAAUUUUGGACAAUGGGCGCAAGCCUGAUCCAGCCAUGCCGCGUGAGUGAAGAAGGCCUUCGGGUUGUAAAGCUCUUUCGGCCGGGAAGAAAUCGCACAGGUUAAUACCCUGUGUGGAUGACGGUACCGGAAUAAGAAGCACCGGCUAACUACGUG